rnacentral:rRNA from 1 species
AGCGAGCGCUGGCAGCAGGCUUAACACAUGCAAGUCGAACGCCCCGCAAGGGGAGUGGCAGACGGGUGAGUAACACGUGGGAACGUACCCUUUGGUUCGGAAUAACUUGGGGAAACUCAAGCUAAUACCGGAUAAGCCCUUAUGGGGAAAGGUUUACUGCCGAAGGAUCGGCCCGCGUCUGAUUAGCUAGUUGGUGAGGUAAUGGCUCACCAAGGCGACGAUCAGUAGCUGGUCGGAGAGGAUGAUCAGCCACACUGGGACUGAGACACGGCCCAGACUCCUACGGGAGGCAGCAGUGGGGAAUAUUGGACAAUGGGGGCAACCCUGAUCCAGCCAUGCCGCGUGAGUGAUGAAGGCCUUAGGGUUGUAAAGCUCUUUUACCCGGGACGAUAAUGACUGUACCGGGAGAAUAAGCCCCGGCUAACUUCGUGCCAGCAGCCGCGGUAA